rnacentral:rRNA from 2 species
GACAGAGGGUGCAAACGUUGUUCGGAAUUACUGGGCGUAAAGCGCGUGUAGGCUGCUUGGAAAGUCGGAUGUGAAAGCCCUGGGCUCAACCCAGGAAGUGCAUUCGAAACUUCCGAGCUCGAGUUCUGGAGAGGAUAGCGGAAUUCUCGGUGUAGAGGUGAAAUUCGUAGAUAUCGAGAGGAACACCGGUGGCGAAGGCGGCUAUCUGGACAGAAACUGACGCUGAGACGCGAAAGCGUGGGGAGCAAACAGG